ensembl:miRNA Mir879 microRNA 879
UUCUAGAUCCAGAGGCUUAUAGAUCUAAGCCUUGGAUUAAAGAGGCUUAUGGCUUCAAGCUUUCGGAGCUGGAGGC